ACCGACGUCUUCUCGCGUUUGAGCCGUCGCUCCAUCAUCAUCAUUUUGGACUGCGACUUACACUGAGCUCCUGCUUUCUUCGACUGAAGAACACUUCAAAGCAUUCAUUUAUUCAUUAUAAUGCUGCAGCAAUGAAAACAUUGGUCAGAAAAACAGCCAGUAAAUCGGAACAAUCCAGAAUCAGCACAGAUGCUGCCAGAAGAAGAUGGAGAUGUUUUCAGGGAGAAAAUCCAGACCUAGACAACCGAACUGUACCAAAUGCUGAGGUGAAGGCCUGAGUAGUUGCCAAAAAUGCUAAAGCCUACGGACUGAGCAGCUGUGAGUAUGAAAACUCAAGCAUUGUUUUUAAAAGCUGAAGCAUGCCUUUAGCUGUUAAGCUACUAAUGAAGGACACUACUCAAGCAUCUCCAAUGGAAAGCCAGAUAACAGCACUUAGUCAUAAAUUACUCAAGUCAAUUAAUGGUCAAUAAAUUACUUUCAAACUUGAGGUUUCGGGACAAUGAGUGGUUUCCCUACCUCAGAAAUGUAGUAUAAAAAUAAACAGAUAUGCAUUUGCCUUUG